AGAAUUCUGUGGCCUGACAGUUAUGAGCACUCUCAGAGGCACUAAGCACUCAGUGGAAGUAACAAGGCCAAACCCAGUACAGGUGACCUCUGUGAAAGGGUCAUCUGACCCCAAAGGAGUUGUGGCCUACAGAUUGAAAACCACUGGUCUAGACAAAGAAGAUGGUUGUGAGUUAGAGACG